rnacentral:tRNA from 1 species
GCCCACGUGGCGAAAUUGGUAAACGUUGCGGUCUCAGAAGCCGUUGGAGUUAAAUCCUUGGGAGUUCGAGUCUCCCCGUGGGCA